AACUCUUGUUCCCAAAUGUUGGUGGGAGACAAAGACCAACAAAGUGUAGUAUCUGUUCUUAUCAGCUUAAUAUCUGAUACGGUCCCUAUUUGGGGCCAUCAAUAUUUAAGUGAUUUUUAGAAGGAGGCUAAGGGCUUGCUCCACCUUUGCCACGGAUUGGCCUGGUAUUGCAGUGUUUCUAGGAUUCAGCGCAUCUCCC